AAAAAAAAAAAAAAAAAGACAUUAGUGUCCACUUUACCAAAGAAACUUAUUUGGUUGGUUUGGAUUUAGUGUUUGUUGUUUGUUUACCAAAGACAUUUCCACUCAUCAAAACUGUUUCUCCUGGUCAACUCAAAAACUGUGAUACAUGGAGUCUCUUGGCCUUCAUAAGGAAAAUAAGAAAAGCCAAGGAAAAAACAAAGAGGAAAGUGAAUGAGCUGGAAUCUGUUCACCUGAAAAGACAGUGUCAGGAUGUCCUCCCCAGCCCAUCUCGCAUCUGUCCCCUCUCACCCUGUGCAGGUGAUCUGUUUGAAGUCCUCCUUGAUACCUCUGAGAGUGCCAAACAAGGAAAAGGAAGUGAGAUGACCAGAGAACUCUGGCCUAUGUGCAGACUUCCAAAUUAGGUCAAAAUUAGCACCACGAGGUUUGGAGAAGCCUACCUGGUGGGGAAAGAAGGCUUCUUUUCAAAGUACAAAGAAAGCAACGUGUACUAAGGAGGCAAUCCACAGAGGAACCUUGGUGGAAGGGAGUGACGUUCCCAUGGAAUGUGCCAGCUUCUUCUCCCUCCCUAAUGUUGACACCAGAUGCAUCUUUGGAUAGAAGUAAUCCUACCCCCUCAUUUUUCAUGUGAGAAAUCUAAAAUCUGGAGAAGUGAAAUUCUAUCCACCGAGCUGGUUAGAAGCAGAUAGAGAACUGUAAAUGAAGUCUAGUAUCUAGCCUCAGUUCUUUCUCCAUUCUGCCACUUUACUGCCAAAUUCUGUGUGUCUAAAAUUUGAGGUCUUAACCUGGGGGUUGUGAAUGAGUUGCUAGAGGGAGGAACUCUGAGCUCCCUAAAAGUAAACCGAAUGCAAAAAUGUGUGUGUAUGUUCAAUAUGUGCAUUUUCCUAAAUAGAGGGUUCAUAGCUGUCAUAAGAUUCUGAAAGAGGUCUGUGACCUAAAAAGAGUGAAGAACGAUUGUCCUAAUAAAGACCUCAUUGGGAGUGUGA